rnacentral:rRNA from 1 species
GAUGAACGCUAGCGGCAGGCUUAACACAUGCAAGUCGAGGGGCAGCACGUCUUCGGAUGGUGGCGACCGGCGCACGGGUGCGUAACGCGUAUACAACCUACCUUAUAGAGGGGAAUAGCCCAGAGAAAUUUGGAUUAAUGCCCCAUAGUAUUAUUGAAUAGCAUUAUUUGAUGAUUAAACAUUUAUGGCUAUAAGAUGGGUAUGCGUUCUAUUAGCUAGAUGGUAAGGUAACGGCUUACCAUGGCGACGAUAGAUAGGGGUCCUGAGAGGGAGAUCCCCCACACUGGUACUGAGACACGGACCAGACUCCUACGGGAGGCAGCAGUGAGGAAUAUUGGACAAUGGGCGAGAGCCUGAUCCAGCCAUGCCGCGUGCAGGAAGACGGCCCUAUGGGUUGUAAACUGCUUUUUAUACGGGAAGAAACACUCCUUCGUGAAGGAGCUUGACGGUACCGUAAGAAUAAGGAUCGGCUAACUCCGUGCCAGCAGCCGAC